UCCACUAGGUUUUGGUGUCAGAGCUUUACCAUGCCCGAGCCCGCCAAGUCGGCCCCGGCGCCGAAGAAGGGGUCCAAGAAGGCGGUGACCAAGGCGCAGAAGAAGGACGGCAAGAAGCGCAAGCGCAGCCGCAAGGAGAGCUACUCGGUGUACGUGUACAAGGUGCUGAAGCAGGUGCACCCCGACACGGGCAUCUCGUCCAAGGCCAUGGGCAUCAUGAACUCGUUCGUCAACGACAUCUUCGAGCGCAUCGCGGGCGAGGCGUCCCGCCUGGCGCAUUACAACAAGCGCUCGACCAUCACGUCGCGGGAGAUCCAGACGGCCGUGCGCCUGCUGCUGCCCGGGGAGCUGGCCAAGCACGCCGUGUCCGAGGGCACCAAGGCCGUCACCAAGUACACCAGCGCCAAGUGAGCUUGCCAAGAGGACACUGGAGCUUCCUGGUGCAACAGAACUGAAUUAUAAAUAUUGGCAGCACUUGCUUCAGUUGAGAAGAAAAUAAAAUGAUACAGCUCUAGUUGGAAUCACAUUUUCCACUUCAGAUGAACAGUGCUCAACACCAUUGGGAAUCGCAAUCGAGCUAGGUGCAAUCAGCGUAAGGCGUGAGAGAUGAAGAAAACACACCGGAAAGUGGAGGAAGGCCUCCAUGGUCAGACCCACAGCCCGUGAAUAAGCUUGCUUUGAGCUUGCGAGAGGCUACAGCGGCAUCUCCUGGAACAAUGUACUCUGUGACUUGCAUUUCUAAACCACAGCGGGUCUCUGCCAGUCUCUCAAACCCGACGUCCUUCAAAUUCCAAUAAGUUCUUCACCGCACAUUUUUAACGUAGUUAAAUACUGACUCUUCGCAAGGUCAGGGAACUCAUCCACUAGUUUUCUACCGGGCUUAAUAUACAAGGGUUUAAGAGACACUGCCUACAACUGGAUAACCUGAAGGGGGAGGAAGCAAAUGAAAGUCUCCCGUCUGUGAUUCCUGUCGGGGGGGGGGGGGGGGGGGGGAGUGAAGAUUGGGAUCUGCCUCAAUCCAUCAGCCUCCACUCUUCAGCCCUAAGGAGUCCCUAACCCUAAACCUCUCCGUGUCCUGAAUGAUCUUGUCCUCAGUCACAUCUUCAUUCCCUAGGAUUUUAUUUUAAAGGAGAAGAUUUAAAAGGAAUUAACGUUCGUGUGCUUGUCCUUCGCCUGAUUUCAGCCUACAAUCACAAUCAUACAAAAUGGAAUCUCCCAUUUUACAAGUGAAUGACCUGAGGAAUUAAGGUUAAAUAGCCCCUGAAAUAAAUAAAAGUGGGAUCUGAAUCCCUAAGGACUGUUUCCACACUAUUUUUCUCAAGCUAUAGAUGCCAGUUGCAGUCAUAGGAUUGGGUAACAGGCUCAGAGGAAAAAUUGAGCAUUAGAAUAAAAUGAAAGUAAAACUGACCAGGAGAUAACACUUGUUCUUUGAUGCACAGCACAGUUCUUAAACCAAAGUAUAUAGCAAGAUAUGGAAGCUAAGGAUCACCAGACAACAAAUUUUUCUGAGCGCUGUGCUGGAGAGGGAAAACCAUGAGCAUUGGUGGUGUAAAACAGAGCUCAGAAAUCUGUUUCUACCUAU